rnacentral:tRNA from 1 species
GCCCGGGUGGUGGAAUGGUAGACACACUAGCUUGAGGGGCUAGCGGUCGCAAGGCCGUGCUGGUUCAAAUCCAGUUCCGGGCA